rnacentral:rRNA from 1 species
GUGUCAGCCGCCGCGGUAAUACGUAGGUGGCAAGCGUUGUCCGGAUUUACUGGGCGUAAAGGAUGUGUAGGCGGAUAUUUAAGUCAGAUGUGAAAUCCCCGGGCUUAACUUGGGGGCUGCAUUUCAAACUGGAUGUCUUGAGUGCAGGAGAGGAAAGUAGAAUUCCUAGUGUAGCGGUGAAAUGCGUAGAGAUAUGGAUGAAAACCAGUGGCGAAGGCGGCUUUCUGGAC